UUGGCUAAGGUGUCUUGGCUAAGGUGUCUUGGCUAAGGUGUCUUGGCUAAGGUGUCUUGGCUAAGGUGUCUUGGCUAAUGUGUCUCGGCUAAGGUGUCUUGGCUAAUGUGUCUCGGCUAAGGUGUCUUGGCUAAGGUGUCUUGGCUAAGGUGUCUUGGCUAAGGUGUCUUGGCUAAGGUGUCUUGGCUAAGGUGUCUUGGCUAAGGUGUCUUGGCUAAUGUGUCUUGGCUAAUGUGUCUUGGCUUAGGUGUCUUGGCUAAGGUGUCUUGGCUAAGGUGUCUUGGCUUAUGUGUCUUGGCUUAAGUGUCUUGGCUUAGGUGUCUUGGCUAAUGUGUCUUGGCUAAUGUGUCUUGGCUAAGGUGUCUUGGCUAAGGUGUCUUGGCUAAGGUGUCUUGGCUAAGGUGUCUUGGCUAAGGUGUCUUGGCUAAGGUGUCUUGGCUAAGGUGUCUUGGCUAAGGUGUCUUGGCUAAGGUGUCUUGGCUAAGGUGUCUUGGCUAAGGUGUCUUGGCUAAUGUGUCUCGGCUAAAGUGUCUUGGCUAAGGUGUGUUGGCUAAGGUGUCUUGGCUAAGGUGUCUAGGCUAAUGUGUCUUGGCUAAGGUGUCUUGGCUAAUGUGUCUUGGCUAAUGUGUCUUGGCUAAGGUGUCUUGGCUAAGGUGUCUUGGCUAAGGUGUCUUGGCUAAGGUGUCUUGGCUAAUGGGUCUUGGCUAAUGUGUCUUGGCUAAGGUGUCUUGGCUAAGGUGUCUUGGCUAAGGUGUCUUGGCUAAGGUGUCUUGGCUAAGGUGUCUUGGCUAAUGUGUCUCGGCUAAUGUGUCUUGGCUAAUGUGUCUUGGCUAAGGUGUCUUGGCUAAGGUGUCUUGGCUAAUGUGUCUUGGCUAAAGUGUCUUGGCUUAGGUGUCUUGGCUAAUGUGUCUUGGCUAAUGUGUCUUGGCUAAGGUGUCUUGGCUAAGGUGUCUUGGCUAAGGUGUCUUGGCUAAGGUGUCUUGGCUAAGGUGUCUUGGCAAAUGUGUCUUGGCUAAGGUGUCUUGGCUAAGGUGUCUUGGCUAAUGUGUUUUGGCUAAGGUGUCUUGGCUAAGGUGUCUUGGCUAAUGUGUCUUGAGUAAUGUGUCUUGGCUAA